rnacentral:ncRNA from 1 species
CAUUAAAAAUUGAACAAGUGCCCGUAAAAUGCUUUAAGGGAAUCCCGGCGUAAAUCCGGAACAGUCUCCGCUGCUGUAAACCUCGUUAUUGAACUGCUGUUAAAACCACUUUCGCAAAGAAGGGAAGGUCGCAGUUUGAGGAAGUCAGAAGACCUGCCUUAGGAAUAGUUAUUAA